rnacentral:lncRNA from 1 species
UUCCAUCAUAUUUUAUUCCCACAAGCUGACUUACAUUCAGUCAAUACAAUACCUAUUUAAUUAUUGAAAUUAUUCAGACUUAUUUCAAUAAAAUCAGCAACAACUCCAUUUCUUUCAUUCAAGUUCACAAUUCAUUUAUUUCAAUUCUUCGGCAUAUCAAAUCUUAUAACUAUCAUUUAGAACUUAAUUUAAAUUCAAUUUAGGAUCUCAAGCUCUUACCUCAAUAGGUUGGAAUACUACAGCUGAAACCAUAGUCUUCUUUCCCUUCCUACUAGUAGUCAUCUCUUCCUCUAAAUUAAAUCAUUAAUGAUUCACCUUUUUAUUAGCUGAACUCUCUCUAACCUCAAAC